GUGGGCAGGAACCUUGGGUGGGAGAAGCAGCAAGGCUAAGCAGGAGGAGCAGGGGCCUUUGAGUUCUAGCCUAGCAGCAUGACAGGGAAAAGGUCACUUCCCAUCUCUGGGCCUCAAUUUCCUCAUUUGUAAAACAGGGAAACGCCACCAGAUCUUCGCCUUAGCAUUCCAGGAAUCUUUGAAAGUGGAAGGGCCUGCACUCAAACCAUCCUCCCUCAGCAAUGCUGGAUUGGAAGCUGAGCAAAGCCACUGUGGAGGAAGAGUGACUCCCUUUUCUCCACCUAUCAGGGGAGACCAAAAUGGACAACCCAGGCCUACAACCACCCACAAGAUACCCAACCCCGAUGGACAGCUGCUCUAGGCUCUGAAGGACGCCCUACUCCAUCUCCCUCUUCCUUCUUUACUUUUUAUCAGUCAAAAUGUUGUGAAACAAGAGCCAGUGCUUGUUUUCUUCAUGUUUUGCUGAAGCACAAA
rnacentral:lncRNA from 1 species